CCCUUAGAUGUCCUGGGCCGCACGCGCGCUGCACUGAUGCAUUCAACGAGUUCUACCUUGGCCGAGAGGCCUGGGCAAUCUUUUGAACCUGCAUCGUGAUAGGGAUAGAUUAUUGCAAUUAUUAAUCUUGAACGAGGAAUUCCUAGUAAACGCAGAUCAUCAAUCUGCAUUGAUUACGUCCCUGCCCUUUGUACACACCGCCCGUCGCACCUACCGAUUGAAUGGUCCGGUGAAGCCUCGGGAUUGUGGCGAGUUCCCUUUAUUGGGAGUUUGUCGCGAGAACUUGUCUAAACCUUAUCAUUUAGAGGAAGGUGAAGUCGUAACA
rnacentral:rRNA from 1 species